rnacentral:rRNA from 1 species
CAGUAGCCACGGGAAUACGGAGGGCGCGAGCGUUACCCGGAUUUACUGGGCGUAAAGGGCGUGUAGGCGGCCUGGGGCGUCCCAUGUGAAAGGCCACGGCUCAACCGUGGAGGAGCGUGGGAUACGCUCAGGCUAGAGGGUGGGAGAGGGUGGUGGAAUUCCCGGAGUAGCGGUGAAAUGCGCAGAUACCGGGAGGAACGCCGAUGGCGAAGGCGGCCACCUGGUCCACUUCUGACGCUGAGGCGCGAAAGCGUGGGGAGCAAACCGGAUUAGAUACCCGAGUAGUCCCUGUCUCUUAUAC